CCCCUCUCAUGGUUGCACCUGGAGCGUUUCCAGUCCUCUACCAGUUUUGGCUACAGGAGGGAGAGGCAAGCAGAGGCCGGUCCAUUCCAUUCCUAGCUUGGCCAGUGGCUAGUGAGUGGAAGGCCAUCUGCUACAAGC